UAGAAAAAGAGAGAGGGAGAGUGGAGGAGCACAGCACUCUCCUGCCAAAGAGGGUAAUGAGGAGAGGAGCUGCAGAGAGAGGAGAGUUACUGAGCGGUUCAUUGACAUGCUAAAUGUCAAAGGUGGGAGGUCUAUCGUUCUAAACGCACACUUAAGCACCCGCCACUAGGAGACGACCGCUGCAGCAGUGCAAGCUCCGCGUCAGGGACAGUUGAAGAUCUCUAUCAUAGACUGAAGCUCGGACUUGAUGCAGUAGCAGUCACGCUUUGCUCUGAUGUGACGCAGGAUCUCGCUCA